UUCAUAUCACAACCACAAGUCCAACAACAACCCCAAAGCAAAACACUUUCUAAGAAACUCAAGAAACAUCCAUUAACACAUAUGGCGAAAGACGUGGGAGGACCUGAUGGAUUUCAGACGAGGGACUACGAAGAUCCUCCGCCUACUCCGUUUUUCGACGCGGAGGAGCUUACCAAGUGGUCUUUGUACAGAGCAGUCAUCGCCGAGUUCGUAGCUACUCUCCUCUUCUUAUACGUCACCGUUUUGACUGUCAUCGGUUACAAGUACAAGAUUGAGUUGACUGUGGCGGCGUUGGAAUUCUUGGCAUCGCGUGGGCUUUUGGUGGCAUGAUCUUCAUUCUUGUCUACUGCACCGCCGGUAUCUCAGGUGGUCACAUAAACCCGGCGGUGACAUUCGGAUUGUUCUUGGCUCGGAAGGUGUCGCUGAUUAGGGCGGUGCUUUACAUGGUGGCUCAGUGUUUGGGUGCUAUUUGUGGAGUUGGGUUUGUGAAGGCUUUUCAAAGCUCUUACUACGUUCGUUACGGUGGAGGAGCCAACUCUCUAGCCGACGGUUACAACACAGGCACGGGACUUGCCGCAGAGAUCAUCGGAACAUUCGUGCUCGUCUACACAGUCUUCUCCGCCACUGAUCCCAAACGCAACGCUAGAGACUCCCACGUUCCGGUGUUGGCGCCACUUCCGAUUGGGUUUGCGGUGUUUAUGGUACAUUUGGCCACUAUUCCGAUCACCGGAACCGGUAUCAACCCGGCCAGGAGUUUCGGAGCCGCCGUAAUCUUUAACAAGAGCAAGCCAUGGGAUGACCAUUGGAUAUUCUGGGUAGGACCAUUCAUUGGAGCUGCGAUAGCUGCAUUUUAUCACCAAUUUGUCCUCAGGGCCUCAGGUUCCAAGUCACUCGGUUCCUUCAGAAGUGCAGCAAACGUUUGAACUUAGCCAUAAAACAAAAAAAAAGUGUGUACAAUUAUGUAGGAAUUGGGCACAUUAUUUUAAAACAUGCCCUCUUUUCCACUCGUAUCUUUCUUUUCUUCUUCCUAUUUCUGCUUAUAUUUGUGUGAUUCCUAAUCAAUCAAGUGAAAUGUUUUCCUCUUGGCAAUGAGUUAAAGUGUAUUGAAAAAAAAAUUCGAGAAGAACCACUUUUCCUUGGCUUA